GACGAACGCUGGCGGCGUGCUUAACACAUGCAAGUCGAACGGUGAACCCCUUCGUAGUGGAUCAGUGGCGAACGGGUGAGUAACACCUGGGCAACCUGUCCCCGUCUCUGGGAUAACUCCAAGCAAUUGGGGCUAAUACCGUAUGGUCACCGCUUCCCUCAUGGUUGGUUGUGGCAAGGUUUGCUUGCUGGGGAUGGGCUCGCGGCCUCUCAGCUUGUUGGUGGGGUAGUGGCCUACCAAGGCGAGGACAGGUAGCAGGCCUGUGAGGGUGACCGGACACACUGGGACUGAGAUGCGGCCCAGACUACUCCGGGAGGCAGGGGUGCGGAAUAGUGCGCAAUGGGAGGAAGGAUGACGUAGUGAAGCCGCGUGGGGGAUGAGGGCAUUGGGGUUGUAAUGCUCUUUCCGCUGGGCCGAAGCGAAAGUGACGGUACCUGCAGAAGAAGCACCGGCCAACUACGUG
rnacentral:rRNA from 1 species